rnacentral:rRNA from 1 species
GAUGAACGCUGGCGGCGUGCCUAAUACAUGCAAGUCGAGCGAACGGACGAGAAGCUUGCUUCUCUGAUGUUAGCGGCGGACGGGUGAGUAACACGUGGAUAACCUACCUAUAAGACUGGGAUAACUUCGGGAAACCGGAGCUAAUACCGGAUGAUAUUUUGAACCGCAUGGUUCAAAAGUGAAAGACGGUCUUGCUGUCACUUAUAGAUGGAUCCGCGCUGCAUUAGCUAGUUGGUAAGGUAACGGCUUACCAAGGCAACGAUGCAUAGCCGACCUGAGAGGGUGAUCGGCCACACUGGAACUGAGACACGAUCCAGACUCCUACGGGAGGCGGCAGUAGGGAAUCUUCCGCAAUGGGCGAAAGCCUGACGGAGCAACGCCGCGUGAGUGAUGAAGGUCUUCGGAUCGUAAAACUCUGUUAUUAGGGAAGAACAUAUGUGUAAGUAACUGUGCACAUCUUGACGGUACCUAAUCAGAAAGCCACGGCUAACUACGUG